rnacentral:rRNA from 1 species
UACGGGGGGGGGCAAGCGUUGUUCGGAAUUACUGGGCGUAAAGGGCUCGUAGGCGGCCAACUAAGUCAGACGUGAAAUCCCUCGCUUAACCGGGGAACUGCGUCUGAUACUGGAUGGCUUGAGUUUGGGAGAGGGAUGCGGAAUUCCAGGUGUAGCGGUGAAAUGCGUAGAUAUCUGGAGGAACACCGGUGGCGAAGGCGGCAUCCUGGACCAACACUGACGCUGAGGAGCGAAAGCCAGGGGAGCAAACGGGG